rfam:Bombyx mori DNA, contig: Bm_scaf54_contig27507, strain: p50T/Dazao, build 2, whole genome shotgun sequence.
UCAACUCAAAUUUGUAUGGAUUUGGAACAGCUUGCCUUCGUCUGCGCUAGGAGUGUUGUUCCAACUCCAUACAAAUUUGAGUUG